rnacentral:rRNA from 1 species
GACGAACGCUGGCGGCGUGCUUAACACAUGCAAGUCGAACGGUGAAAGCGGAGCUUGCUCCGCUGGAUCAGUGGCGAACGGGUGAGUAACACGUGGGCAACCUGCCCCUCACUUCGGGAUAACUCCGGGAAACCGGGGCUAAUACCGGAUAUGACCUCCUUGGGCAUCCUUGGAGGUGGAAAGUUUUUCGGUGAGGGAUGGGCCCGCGGCCUAUCAGCUUGUUGGUGAGGUAGUGGCUCACCAAGGCGACGACGGGUAGCCGGCCUGAGAGGGCGACCGGCCACACUGGGCCUGAGACACGGCCCAGACUCCUACGGGAGGCAGCAGUGGGGAAUAUUGCGCAAUGGGCGAAAGCCUGACGCAGCAACGCCGCGUGCGGGAUGACGGCCUUCGGGUUGUAAACCGCUUUCAGCAGGGAAGAAGCCGCAAGGUGACGGUACCUGCAGAUGAAGCACCGGCUAACUACGUGCCAGCCGCCGCAGUAA